rfam:Asian citrus Psyllid, Diaphorina citri - Florida Strain, whole genome shotgun sequence.
GCCAGAUGCGAUAGCACCUUGGAUGAACCAGUUCCCCAUGGAUCACUGAAGUUGAGCAACGUUGCGCCGGGUUAGUAUCUGUAUGGGUGACCAUCUGGGCAAAUGCGUGCUGUUGACU